rnacentral:ncRNA from 1 species
GAUAUUCCGAGUAUGCACUUCUAAGGUCCUCCCUUUUUCAUUGGAUUAUGAGCUGUAUACCGAUGGGUAUAACAGGAAACUCUUAUGCCUCCCGUGUUUGGAAAGGAAUGACAU